AUGGGGAAGAAAGAGCCAACACCGCCGAUGCCCACGGGCCACUUCAGUCAGGCGCCUUCCAUUCUUCCUCCCUUAGGAUUUCCAAUCCAAGGUGAGCGUUUUACUAAAAUUGUAGCCAGUCCAUACUACAUGCUCCCUGAGGUAUUAAAGCACAACUAUGGCCCUGAAAUCGAUGUCUGGAUUGUAGGAGUUAUACUUUACAUACUUCUUUGUGGUGUGCAAACAUUUUUGGAAGAUUCUGAACAGGGAGUAGCACAAGCAAUUAUGUGCUCUGUGGUAGAUUUCAAAAGCGACCCAAGGCCCAGGGUAUCUGAGCCUGCUAAAGACUUUGUUCGGCAGAUGCUGGAUCGAAAUCCAAUCACACGGUUUACUGCAACACAAGUAUUCAGGGCCACCUUACUCGUGUGCCCUCAGGCUGAGGAGACCUUUCUAAGUGUACAUGGAGGAUGUGAAAGCGAUGACAGAGGAGCUUGCUGUAGCUUCUUGCCUGCUCCGGGAAUCCCUUCCCUCCUGACGAAGCACGAUGCCAUGUCCUAG
rnacentral:rRNA from 1 species